rnacentral:rRNA from 1 species
GCCGCCGCGGUAAUACCGGCGGCUCGAGUGGUGGCCACUUUUAUUGGGCUUAAAGCGUUCGUAGCUGGGUUGUUAAGUCUCUUGGGAAAUCUGACGGCUCAACCGUCAGGCGUCCAAGGGAUACUGGCAAUCUUGGAACCGGGAGAGGUGAGGGGUACUUCGGGGGUAGGAGUGAAA